rnacentral:rRNA from 1 species
GACGAACGCUGGCGGCGUGCCUAAUACAUGCAAGUCGAACGCAGUGGGGACGGGGUAGUAACACCUGGGCAACCUCCCAUCAGAGGGGAUAACACUUGGAAACAGGUGCUAAACCGAUACUGAAUGAUGGACCCGCUGUGCAUUAGCCAGUUGGUGGGGUAAAGGCUCACCAAGGCCACGAUGGCUAGCGGGCCUGAGAGGAUGAUCUGCCACACUGGGACUGAGACACGGCCCAGACUCCUACGGGAGGCAGCAGUGGGGAAUCUUCGGCAAUGGGCGAAAGUCUGACGGAGCAACGCCGCGUGUGUGAAGAAGGUUUUCGGGUCGUAAAACUCUGUUGUUGGGGAAGCGGUAUCUGAACAGAAAGCCACGGCUAACUACGUGCCAGCAGCCGCGGUAAUUC